ACGCGUUAAGUAGACCGCCUGGGGAGUACGGUCGCAAGAUUAAAACUCAAAUGAAUUGACGGGGGCCCGCACAAGCGGUGGAGCAUGUGGUUUAAUUCGAUGCAACGCGAAGAACCUUACCUACUCUUGACAUCCAGAGAACUUAGCAGAGAUGCUUUGGUGCCUUCGGGAACUCUGAGACAGGUGCUGCAUGGCUGUCGUCAGCUCGUGUUGUGAAAUGUUGGGUUA
rnacentral:rRNA from 1 species